rnacentral:lncRNA from 1 species
GAAGGUGGAACUUUUUGGCUAUCAGAGUCGCCUUCUGUCCCAGGAAGCAUCUCAUGGGGUGCUGCAGCUCCAUGCAUUGCAACAUGGGCUAUAUCCUUCCCAAUAUUAGUUUUGUCAAUUUUACAUUGUUUAUCUGCCAAGUCCCUUUAUUUUUAUUUGGACUUUUGAAAGUGUCUUGCCAUGUUUCUUUGACAUGAUGUCACACAUUCCAAUUGAAAGGGAUUGAGCCCCCAGGAUUUUCAUUUCAAAUAGUGAAUACAAACAUGGAUGAGUUCAGUCCUCGUGCACGUAGACGGAGUGCUUUACUCACGUGGCAACACAUUGCAUCCUUAC